rnacentral:rRNA from 1 species
AUUGAACGCUGGCGGCAGGCUUAACACAUGCAAGUCGAGCGGAGAUGAGGUGCUUGCACCUUAUCUUAGCGGCGGACGGGUGAGUAAUGCUUAGGAAUCUGCCUAUUAGUGGGGGACAACAUUCCGAAAGGAAUGCUAAUACCGAAUACGUCCUACGGGAGAAAGCAGGGGAUCUUCGGACCUUGCGCUAAUAGAUGAGCCUAAGUCGGAUUAGCUAGUUGGUGGGGUAAAGGCCUACCAAGGCGACGAUCUGUAGCGGGUCUGAGAGGAUGAUCCGCCACACUGGGACUGAGACACGGCCCAGACUCCUACGGGAGGCAGCAGUGGGGAAUAUUGGACAAUGGGGGGAACCCUGAUCCAGCCAUGCCGCGUGUGUGAAGAAGGCCUUAUGGUUGUAAAGCACUUUAAGCGAGGAGGAGGCUACUGAGACUAAUACUCUUGGAUAGUGGACGUUACUCGCAGAAUAAGCACCGGCUAACUCUGUGCCAGCAGCCGCGGUAAGAC